AUAUAUAUUGAUGGUCUUACUUUCGUGUAUAUAAAAAAAAGGAAAAAUAGACAAGUAAUAAAUCAUAAACGCAUUUAGAAGAUGUUACGCGAGUAUAUUGAACAUCAACAUGUAUCGAAUCGAUGCUUCGAUCUUAGAAAUGGGAGUCAUAUAUUUGUGACUGGCAAACAAUAACAAUGAUCGCAUUACAAGUCAAAUAUUUUUAUUCGCAUAUCGCGGAGAGGGAGUUCUCGCAUUCGCUAUCGAAGGAGAAGGUAUAAAAAUAGAAGAAGGUGCCUCGCAUGAUAUGAAACAAUAUCAUUUUCAGAAUUGUGGACUUUACGUUCAACAAUAUUUCUUCGAAUGAAAUAUUAUAUAUAUUUCCCUAUUGUGGCUUUAUUAUCCUAUGCGGUGAGUUACUCCUCCGAUACUCAUCAACUUCUUUUUAUCGUAAUAAUAAUUUUAAAAAGACUUGAACAAAUUUUUAUUGUAAACAGUUGGAGGUAGAGAAUAGAAUAUAGAAAAUAGCAACAAUUAUUAAUCUGAUAAAGUACGAUUAAAAUAGUAAAUUUUGAUAUAUAAACAUAUGUUUUGAAUGACUACAAAAUUUAUAUUGGAUAUUUAUCAGGGAAUUUUGUUACUAUUUAUUCUAAUAAAAAAAUUACAUUUUUAUGCAGUUCUACCCUAAUUAUUUUGGAAAACGAGGUAAAAAAGAGGACAAUUAAUUGUUAAACAAGAAAAAAUUUUAGUCUUUUAGUAUAGUUUUAUAUGUCUCAUUUUUUAUUUUGAUAUAAAUGAUGAUUCCAACAAAAACUUUGUGAAUUGAAAUUUUAAUAUAUAAUAAUGGUAUAAAAUCGGUAAAAAUAUUUUUUAUAACAAAUUACUAAAAUAAAAAAUGUAAUGUCCACUUUAUUACUUUUGUGAACUGGAUUUUUUGUAUAUUGGUAGAUUCAGAUAUAAUUAUUAAUCUAAAUAAAAUUAUAUUACAGAAUGUGAACAAACUAUUCUGUAAAGUGAGAAAAUAAUUAGAUUUUGAUAUGCCAAGAGAGAGAUAAAUUUUAUAGUAUAAACUAAACUAUAUUUUGUUUUUGCUGGCAUAAAAUUUUUUGCUCUUGUCCCGCUACUUGUGUUUCAAAAUUUCACACACAUACAUGUGUAUAAUUUGUAAUUUAUUUGUAAUUUGUAAUUGAAAAUUACUGCAAUGUAUCUCUCGUGACUGUAAUCUAUAAUGUUGCAUUUUACAUGCCUUCUGUCAAUCUGUGAUCAGACUUUUAGGUAUGUAAUAAUAGAGAUUGUUUGAAUAGGAUGUGAGUGUGCAUUAUAUCAUCAAAUUUUGCACAUUUUAUCCGAUUCAGCUUGAUUAUUCGUCAUAAUUCUUCCACAGUAUAUGUUCCUCGUAAAGGAAAUUAAAUGUAGAAAGCGACGACGUCUUGUCAAAUACGAUGAGAACACUUUGAUAUUCUAAGUGACGAUAAUCGUCUUACAAAGUGCUAAGUUUGACUACUGAUUCGCGGACGUUGUGUGCAAAAUUUGAAAUUGAAAUUUAAGCGUCUUUCAAGACAGGAACUUUGAUAAAACAUUCGACGAAUGGCCGCGCGUUGAUGAAUUAUGCGGGAGGAGGGAAACAUUCGGCACGGCAGAGAUUUUAUUAAAAGUUCCGUCAUCGAAACUGAGUUUUCGGAAACGUGAACAAGCGUUUGGGAUAAAGUAAGUGCCGUUGGAAUAGUAAGUUGACGAUAAUGCUUGAGAAUACAUUGACGAUAAUGGGACCAGGAACUAGUUUUUCGUGACUAUACCUUUUCCAGCUACUUUUAUAUCGUCCGCUUUGUUCAUUCUUCGGAUAGUUGCGAUAAGAGCGCUUGUACUAUCUCGCGGUCAUGUAAUUUACGCGUUUGAUCGAAAAUUUUCCCCUAAAUAAAUUUGCAAAUGUCGAGGUAGGGAAAAUUUGUACAUGUAAUUGAAUGAUUUUAACAUAUUAAAUGAUUUGGCUUAAACGAUUGUUUCGCCUUAGUGUUAAGUCGCAAAUAAGCGCCUAAAUAAAUACCCUGUUUAUAAACAACAUGUGUUGUAUCUCUAAAAAAAUAUGUAUAUAUAUAUAUAUAUAUAUAUAUAUAUAUAUAUAUAUAUUCUCUGUGAAUGUAUAUAUACGACGCGCGCAAGACAUAGCUGGACGUUAAUGAACAUUAUCUGUAUUGAUAUGUGUAUAAGAAUAUUGAUGAAUGUGCCGAAUAUGUUGGCGAAUGGAAUUGAUCUAUAGGCAUUGCAUGCUUCUCGAUAUACAGCUUCGUGAUGCCAUUAUUAUUAUAGUUAUCGUAAAAGAUUUGUUAAUCGAAUGGUGGAAGUUAUUUUCACUUUAACUUGUUAAGCGAGAAACUUUUCAUGCUUUUCACGCUGCAUACUUUUGCGCUACGUUUUUGGCGCGUUAACUACCGUAGCUUAUGCAGUGUCCGUCCACGAAGUACUUUUUUUUUCUACGAGAAAGAGAGAUACUGCGUAUUCUUAGUUCUAAUAUUAUAUAAUUCAUAUUAAAUAUUUAACAUAAUUUAAUAUAUUAAUUAUAUAAUAAUGAUGUGUAAAAUUCCCUUUGAAAGACAAUGACAGUAAGCUUAUAAGAGUGCGAUUUAUAUCUAGAGAAAUCGAUACAUUUUAUUAUGAAAAAAGGCGAUUGAUUUUAUUAUCAAUAAAAACAAUAAAUUAUUUAUAUUUUUGUCAGUGAUUAAGAGAGCGUGAUUAAUCUGCGAUUGAUAGUUACUUGCGCUUAAUUUUGUUCUCUGUAUAACGAAUGAGUUCUCUCAAUAGAUUGCGAGUGGUAUUUUGUAAUGUAUUAGCAACAUUUAUCUAAUAAUUUUAAUUAUCAAUAAUGCUCGUGUACGAUGAAUACUGUGAAUUUUUAUUGAAAUAAUUAGAAUAGAUAUCCGCAUUAAUUUGCUAUUAUCGUUAGCGAUAAUUAGAGUAUCGAUAAAUGUUGCUAACUAUGAUACGGAAUACCAUUGUAGAGAAACAUUAGAUAACGCUUAAAGCAUUUGUCUUUAUGUCUCUGACUUAUCGAAUUAAACGCAGGUCAAACUCGUUCGAGCUAAUUCGUUCUCGUCUAUGUAGUUGACUAGUGCAUUAGAUGGUAGUAGUAGAAGUGGUAAAUUGUGUUAUAGAUGAUGAACAGAGAUAUAUGUCUUAGAUGAAACGAGAGGGAGACGAAACAUUUCCAAUGUACUUUUCUCACAUAAUUGCAUUGUAAACAACAGUCGUGUUGUUGAACGAAACGAACUGUGCUGUUUCGUAAUUCUUCCGGUAGUCUCAACUCAUUUCGAGGAUUCGAUUAAUUCUGACGUGUUUCGUACAAGCUUGUCGGAGCGAAUUCUCGUCAUGAUGGAAUGCGUAUUCUGACCUCGGGGGCCUCGUUCUGACAAAUUUGUAUCGAGCGGCGGAAAUAAUCAUAUACGGAGUAAGUGGAGGCGAUUAUUAACGGAUAUGCCAUGUGAUUAGGCCCUGUAUUGUAAUCAUCUGAACGCAUUUUAUUAAUAUUGACAUUUUCGUGCAAAUUUAUUAGAACGAGUUGCCGUCAAAACACGCACUGAUUACGAUUGCACCUUCGGGAUAUGAUCGUGUGGUAGGUAUACCGGUUUUUCGGUUCUAAUAUAUAUGUGAGGCAUCGAAAUGAGCGCCUAUAUAUAAUAUCGCGUAUGAAUUCGAUUUUUUCGUUGAAACAUAUUUUUUUUUUUUUAACAAUAUUGAUUUUGAUUUAAAUUUACCACGAUGUACGCUGAAUUUUAUUCAUUUUAAAAUUAUUUAAAAUUAUUAUUUAUAAGGAAACACAGUUGUUGAUUGAAUUGUUGAAUUGAUCCAUCUUCCUUUCAAUGCGCUCGAUUAAUUCUGACAUUUUUCUAUUAAUUUGUCAGAAUAAAUUUUCUUUGGAACGCGCAUUCGCUUGAUUAUUCCUUUGACCUUAGAUUAUAGUAGAUAAGUAAUUUAUCACAGAAAGUCAUUGUGACAAAUUUUCAUAUCACAAAUCAAAACAAAUAUCAAAUAUAUUAAAAUAAGCGAAUAUGAUUAUAAUAUGCACCAUACGAUCAGAUCCUGCAUCUUAUUUCAGUGCAUUUGAUUAGAUUCUGACAAAAUGAAUUUUAUGUAAGGCAGGCGAGUUGUUGUCUUCUAUUAACUCGUGUCACUAUUUCGGCCUUUAUUGCUUAUGUCGAGGCAAGUAUAAUUUGUACAUAUGUUUGUAAAUCGGAUUUAAUAGCGUAGAUUUACUAUGUAAAGAGAGCAAACUGUAAUAUUGUUUGCAAAUCGAAUAUGAGCGGCAUCUCGAAUACUCAAAUCUAAAAAUGUGCUAUUAAUGAUCAUUGUACAAAGUCAUUGAGAAGCACUAUAUUCGAAACUCUGAGGACCACAAACUCACAAUAACAUUAGCUCUGAAUCUAUGUAGAUUAUUCGUCUUUUUCAACGAGUGUAGCGGUCGCGAAUUGAAUUCGAUAUUAAACAUCAACACGUUUACGAGAGAGUUACGCAAAAUAAAAAAAAAAAAAUGUCUUUGUAUGGUCCGUGUUUAUACGCGCGAAAGUCGCGAUAUUAAUCCGUUGUAACGUAAAAAAAAAAAACGGCCAAGUCCGUUUAUCAAUGUUGUGUCGUGAUAAAUGUCCAUAAUGCCUCGUAACAAUACUUACGAACGUAAUGGCUAAUGACAACCAAUAGUUUCGAUUCGGUUAACACGAGAAUAGCGUAUAAUAAAAGUCAGGUCGAUGUCUUGCAUUAACUAGUAGAAUAGUAAAAUUAGUUUAUAGAACAACCAUGUAGAACGUAACGUUAACAUCUGUUCCUCUAGUCCUAACAAAGUCAUAAAUCGAUACAAACUGUGUACCGAACUAUAUAUAUGUAUUUAUUUUGUACUGAAUGUGUAUUUUGCAUUGAUGUAUUUUUUGUGAACGUGGACGUGGUACGCUACGUCAGAACCCACGACAUUCUGAUUUUAUUAAUACUUUACAGUUUACGGUGAACUGUGCAUAUGUAAAUUUUAUAAUGUUGUAAUAAAAAUGCGUUUCUCUUUC